rnacentral:tRNA from 1 species
GGGCCAUUGACGCAGCCAGGUAGCGUGUCGGGCUUUUAACCCGCAAGUCGGGGGUCCGAAUCCCUCAUGGCCCG